ensembl:lncRNA
AGAUCAGAGAGAGAGAGUAGCCAUCAGAGAGAGACCAUCAGAGAGAGAGUAGCCAUCAGAGAGAGAGUAGCCAUCAGAGAGAGAGUAGCCAUCAGAGAGAGAGUAGCCAUCAGAGAGAGAGUAGCCAUCAGAGAGAGAGUAGCCAUCAGAGAGAGAGUAGCCAUCAGAGAGAGAGUAGCCAUCAGAGAGAGAGAGUAGCCAUCAGGGAGAGAGUAGCCAUCGGAGAGAGAGUAGCCAUCAGAGAGAGCGUAGCCAUCAGGGAGAGAGUAGCCAUCAGGGACGUGGCCCCGGGUCUUGACCCCGUGGGGACCACAUACAGGGUUCUCUCAGCUAAGGGAUAGAUUGAAGUUUACAGAAUUGUUUCCUGUAGGAAAAUAGAGGAGGGUCAUGCUUUUUCAAUUUCAGUCAAGGGAGGGUUUAGUAUUUUUUUUAAAUCGAGCCCAGGGUAGGGUCAUGUCAUUUAUAAUUGAUUAAAUUUAAAUAUUUCUCAGUGUUUUAAAAAUAGUUGCUUAUUAGGCUAUUUAUCCAUGUGGAGCCCGACGCCGCCCCUCAUCUGAUUCUCUGCUGGGUGCACAAUAUCAAGUUCACCUCUCGGCUAUUUAGUGUGAUAUCAAUCAGAUGAUCUAUACCCUAUAGGGUAUGAUGAAGUGCAUGCUGGGAGAAGCACCGAGCCAACGUUACAUUUCUAAGACAGCUGCUGGUUUAUAUAAAACGAGGCUGCAUUAAACACUGAAAUGGACAUUCCAACCCUGAGCUCUACCUG